GAGCCCGGGCACAGCGGUUCUCUUGGCCAGAUCUCCACUGACCACGUCAGAGAGGCUCAGAGGGAAAUCAGACAAGCCCCCCAGCCUGCAGCACAGGCCCAGACCCUGACUUGGGACUAAGAGCUAAAAAGUCUCCCUUUGGGGCCACGGUGGGCAUAGAGUUAUUAGCUCUGCACCCCAAGACUCCUUCGGGAAUUCUCAACUCCACUUCCCUAAUGAUCCACUUUACCCUCCAGCCCCACAGCUGCUGUGGGAUUUUUUUUCUGAGAUGCUUGUUGGAGGCUGAAGGCGAAUGACUUCAGGCAGAUGAUUGGCCUCAUGAAGCUUAAUGCCUCCUGCAAUUACCUCCCCGGUUUGGGGGGGGUACCCCAUUCCUCCCUUGCAGCCUGAGGGCUGAGUGUAAAUACCAUAGAAGCAGCUGCCUCCCUGCGUGCCUGGCCCUGUCCCUGGCACAUCGCUCCAGCCGGUGGGGGGUCUCUGGGGGGCACACCAGCUCAGAGCCCCAGGGAGCCUUAUCCCUUGAAGCUGGGGGGCUUGGGUGGCCACAGCCAGUUUGCUGCAUACCUCCCUUAGGGCCCAAGAAAGGGGCUUCAGAAACAGGUGUUCCAGCCUCACAGGCGCUGCUGGAAGAAGCUGAUUCCAUUCGAAAUAAGAUUCCAGGGGUUCUCUGCGAUGCUAGAAGGGGUCCUCACAGCCCCAGCAGUGCUCUGUGACAGUGGCCGGGCCCACCCAGUCAGGUUGCCUCCGUGUCACAUCGGGGAAGGCGGCGGAGGGUGACUCGGUUCCUACACCUCUCCUGGGACUCUGGUUCCUUGAAGGUUCUUAUGUCACAGGCUGAGGCCUCACUGGUCACUCCCCUGCUUCCUUCCGGGCUCUGCCUCAGUGGAGAAACAAAUGCAGUGAGUACAGAGGAGGAGUACCUGCCCGUGGCACAGCGGAAACAAAUCUGACUAGCAACCAUGAGGUUGACGGUUCGAUCCCUGGCCUUGCUCAGUGGGUUCAGGAUCCAUGUUGCCGUGAGCUGUGGUGUAGGUUGCAGAUGGGGCUCGGAUCCCACAUUGCUGUGGCUGUGGGGUAGGGGCAAUUUGAUCCCUAGCCUGGGAAGCUCCAUAUGCCGUGGGUGUGGCCCUAAAAAGACCCCCCAAAAAAAAGAAAGCAAAAAGAAAUGAGCAUAGAGGAAAGCAAAGACUGGGGAAAAUGAGUGGAAAGAAAUCAGACAUGACCGUGACAUACUGAGUCCUCUCUGGAAACGAAGUUCUUUGAUGCGCAUUAUCCCAUUUCAUCCUCAGAGCAAUCCUGUGUGCUGGGUUCCAUUAUUAUGCCCGUCCCACCGACCAGGAAACAGGCGAUCAGAGUGGGUAAGAAGCUUGCCCGAGGUCCCACAGCUAUAGGAAGCAGCAGGGCCGGGAGCCCAUCGCAGCCAGUCUGAGGGCAGAGUCUGUCCCUCCCAGCCCGGUGGACAGAGCAUGGGUGGAUACCCACCUGCAUCAAAGGUAAAUGUGAAAACAGAAGCAGAACAGUGUUGUGCUUGGCCCAGGGCCGGGCCCUUCCUUCGUCCUCCUGUCUCCUUAAGCCUCGAGGUCAUCCUCUCGGGAGGUAAAAUGUGCCUCUGCUUUAGCGAUGCGAAAUGAGCCUCCGCCAAACCGCGUGACCUCCUGGAGCAGGAAGCAGAGCAACAGCCAUUCCCUGGGGCACCCAGGCGGGGGCACACAGCGGAUGCUCGUACAGGGGCGUUUCUCUGGCAGCGUUUCCCCCCUUCUCUGUAAAGAGCCUGUUCCCAGUAGGUCCCAUUCUAACCUUGAAGUCAACCAUGGAGGCACCUGAGAGUCAGGUUUACCUACAGUCAGGAAAAGAGCCACUCAGACAGCUGAAGGGAGCUCGGCUGCAAGGGACUCGGAGGUCUUUAAUGUGUCCCCAUCAUGGGAGACCCAGCCAGAAUGUUCUGGAGUCAUAAAACCAGGUUUCCAAAGACCGCAGAGGCAGCCCAGCCUGGAGGUCAAGGGCGUGGCCUUUGGAGCCGGACAGCCAGGUGGGACUCCUGGCUCUGUGAUCCCUCGGUGUCCCCAGCUGCAAAUGGGGAUAAUAAGGCCUGUUGUGAGGAAUUAGUGCUUGUGAAGCACAUAGAACCGUUUCUGGUAAGUGAGUGCUCCCUGAGGGUUCAUGAAAUAGGAACGCUGAACCCCGUUGGAAAAUGCUUGUAAGUAAUUUUACGUGAGAACUGUGUGAUGCAAAGUUAAAUAAAUACAUUAUGCUUCUAACUUUAUUUAUAUAUUAAUGCUUUGAUGUAAAGGCCAAUAUUGAUUGUCUCUAUGUUAUGGAAAUUUGGGUGGUUUUCAUUGUUUUCUUUAUAGCCGGCUCUCUUUUCUCUAUUUUGUGUAAGGAGCAUUAGUUACUUUAUAAUUUUAAAAAAUCAAGAACUUCCCCUUGUGGUUCCACGGUAAUGAACCGGACUAGGAUCCAUGAGGAUGUGGGUUUGAUCCCUGGCCUUGCUCAGUGGGUUAAGGAUCUGGCUUUGCCGUGAGCUAUGUUGCAGGCCGAAGACGAGGCUUAGAUCCUGUGUGGCUGUGGCUGUGGUGUAGGCUGGCAGCUCUAGCCCUGAUUAGACCUCCUAGCCUGGGAACUUCCAUAUGCAGAGAGUGUGGUCCUAAAAUGCCAAGAAAAGAAGAAAAAAAAAAGUCAUAUUAGGAAGUUCCCUUGUGGCGUACUGGAUUAAGAUUCUGGUGUUGCCACAGCUGUGGUACAGGUCACGACUACAGCCCAGGAACUUUCAUAUGCUGUGGGUGUGCCAAAAAAAAAAAAAAAAA
ensembl:lncRNA